GAGCUUGCUCCUGGAUCAGCGGCGGACGGGUGAGUAAUGCCUAGGAAUCUGCCUGAUAGUGGGGGACAACGUUUCGAAAGGAACGCUAAUACCGCAUACGUCCUACGGGAGNANNNAGGGGACCUUCGGGCCUUGCGCUAUCAGAUGAGCCUAGGUCGGAUUAGCUAGUUGGUGAGGUAAUGGCUCACCAAGGCGACGAUCCGUAACUGGUCUGAGAGGAUGAUCAGUCACACUGGAACUGAGACACGGUCCAGACUCCUACGGGAGGCAGCAGUGGGGAAUAUUGGACAAUGGGCGAAAGCCUGAUCCAGCCAUGCCGCGUGUGUGAAGAAGGUCUUCGGAUUGUAAAGCACUUUAAGUUGGGAGGAAGGGUUGUAGAUUAAUACUCUGCAAUUUUGACGUUACCGACAGAAUAAGCACCGGCUAACUCUGUGCCAGCAGCCGCGGUAAUACAGAGGGUGCAAGCGUUAAUCGGAAUUACUGGGCGUAAAGCGCGCGUAGGUGGUUUGUUAAGUUGGAUGUGAAAUCCCCGGGCUCAACCUGGGAACUGCAUCCAAAACUGGCAAGCUAGAGUAUGGUAGAGGGUGGUGGAAUUUCCUGUGUAGCGGUGAAAUGCGUAGAUAUAGGAAGGAACACCAGUGGCGAAGGCGACCACCUGGACUGAUACUGACACUGAGGUGCGAAAGCGUGGGGAGCAAACAGGAUUAGAUACCCUGGUAGUCCACGCCGUAAACGAUGUCAACUAGCCGUUGGGAGCCUUGAGCUCUUAGUGGCGCAGCUAACGCAUUAAGUUGACCGCCUGGGGAGUACGGCCGCAAGGUUAAAACUCAAAUGAAUUGACGGGGGCCCGCACAAGCGGUGGAGCAUGUGGUUUAAUU
rnacentral:rRNA from 1 species